CCUACGGGGUGCACCAGUGGGGAAUAUUGCACAAUGGGCGCAAGCCUGAUGCAGCCAUGCCGCGUGUAUGAAGAAGGCCUUCGGGUUGAAAAGUACUUUCAGCGGGGAGGAAGGCGAUAAGGUUAGUAACCUUGUCGAUUGACGUUACCCGCAGAAGAAGCACCGGCUAACUCCGUGCCAGCAGCCGCGGUAAUACGGAGGGUGCAAGCGUUAAUCGGAAUUACUGGGCGUAAAGCGCACGCAGGCGGUCUGUCAAGUCGGAUGUGAAAUCCCCGGGCUCAACCUGGGAACUGCAUUCGAAACUGGCAGGCUAGAGUCUUGUAGAAGGGGGUGGAAUUCCAGGUGUAGCGGUGAAAUGCGUAGAGAUCUGGAGGAAUACCGGUGGCGAAGGCGGCCCCCUGGACAAAGACUGACGCUCAGGUGCGAAAGCGUGGGGAGCAAACAGGAUUAGAUACCCGAGUAGUC
rnacentral:rRNA from 1 species